rnacentral:sRNA from 1 species
UUUUGGAGCGAGCACAGGGGUAUUCACAACUAAUUAACCACAACCAGUUACAGAUUCUUUUGUUCCUUCUCCACUCCUUCUGCUUCAUUUGACCAGCCUAAA